CCCUAUGAAGCUUUACUGUAUCUUGGAAUUGAAUUCGGGUUUAUCUUGCGCAGCAUAGGUGGGAGGCUGAGACAAUAUAUUUGCGGAUAUAGAAGAGCCAAUAGNUGAGAUACCACUCUUGAUAAAUUAGAAUUCUAAUUUUGAAUGCCAUUAACUGGCCAAAAAACAGUUCCAGGUGGGCAGUUUGACUGGGGCGGUCGCCUCCUAAAAGGUAACGGAGGCGCGCAAAGGUUUCCUCAGGCUGGUCGGAAAUCAGUCGUAGAGUGUAAAGGUAUAAGGAAGCUUGACUGC
rnacentral:rRNA from 1 species